AGGAAGGCGGAGGUCGACCGUGGCAGGGGUUCGGGGGUGCGGGCGGGGGGGGGGGUGGGAAGCACCCACUUGCGCUGUUUUUUCCGGGAGGCGGGGCUGCAGCUACGUUGGGUGGAGCCUGUGAGGAGUGGCAGACGCUCUGCCUCCGCGGGUAUUGCUAGUUUCUUUUUUGAUCGUGGGGCCCAAGUCCAGUCUCUGUUACCUGGGGAAUAUCGGUCCGCACUUGUGAAGGAGUUUAGCCUUUCUGCUGUGUUGCGUUCUUGGAACACGAGCAUAAUCGAUGGUACUAAGCUGAUGUUCAUAAAUAGGGUUGUUGUCAAGAUGGAGUGCCUAACCCAGUAAUCCAUGGACCAGGCCCUGAGUCCACAAAGCAUGAUCUCCUUCUGUCCACUCUGUGGCAAAAGUGUCAAAGUAUCAUUCAAGUUCUGCCCUUACUGUGGCGAGGCCCUGCCUGUAGAGGAGGAUGGAGGCACCCAGACUGGCAUUACGCCUCUUGUGUCACCCUUUCGAGGCUCCAAGAGAGACCUGAACUCCAGUUCUGAAACCUCCCCCAAGAAAGUGAAAUGGUCACGCACUGUCACUUCUCUCCCGCUCUCCCUCCACUCUGACUAUGACAGUUCUGGAUCUGAUGACACCUUGAGUUCUCCUGACAGAGCCACAGGCACCCGGAGCAGAUCCCAGACCCCUAAAGGCAGCCCACUUGCCAACAGGCUGAGCCCUCGGACACUGAAGCGGAGCCGGGUGACCACCUCACUCCAGGCUCUGCCCACAGGGACAGAGCUGACAGACCAGAAUGGGAAGCACUGGACACUGGGGACCCUGCAGACCCGGGAUGACCAAGGCAUUCUCUAUGCAGCUGAGCCUACUUCUGCCAUCUCCAGUGAAUCAAGGACCCAGAAGUGGAGAUUCUCCCUCAAACUGGACUCCAAAGACGGGCGCCUUUUCAAUGAGCAGAACUUCUUUCAGAGAGCAGCCAAGCCUCUGCAAGUGAACAAGUGGAAGAAGCGGUGCUUGACCCCGCUCCUGGCCAUCCCCACCUGCAUCGGCUUUGGCGUUCACCAGGACAAGUACAGGUUCCUAGUGUUCCCCAGCCUGGGGAGGAGCCUUCAGUCAGCCCUGGACGACAACCCGAAGCAUGUGGUAUCCGAGAGAUGUAUGCUGCAGGUGGCCUGCAGGCUGCUGGAUGCUCUGGAGUAUCUCCAUGAACACGAGUAUGUUCACGGGAACCUGACCACUGAGAAUGUCUUUGUGAAUCCAGAGGACCUGAGCCAGGUGACCCUGGUGGGCUAUGGCUUCACCUACCGAUACUGCCCAGGUGGCAAGCACGUGGCCUAUAAAGAAGGCAGCAGGAGUCUACACGAUGGGGACCUGGAGUUCAUUAGCAUGGACGUGCACAAGGGAUGCGGGCCCUCCCGCCGCAGCGAUCUCCAGACCUUGGGCUACUGUAUGCUCAAGUGGCUUUAUGGGUCCCUGCCAUGGACAAACUGCCUUCCCAACACUGAAGAGAUAACUAAGCAGAAGCAGAAGUAUCAGGACAACCCUGAGCCCCUGGUGGGACUGUGUGGCCGCUGGAACAAGACCUCAGUAACAGGGUUACAACCACAUACACAAUUCUUGAGUUGUUUGGAGCUGGGAAUGGAUUCCAGGGCUGGUGCGUGCCAGAGUCUCCUACACCAACCUAGACUGGCUUCACACUUGCUGUGCUGGGAUCACAGGCAAGCACCAUGCCUACAUACACAUACUUUUUUUUUUUAGCUUUUAUUUAUUUUUAUUUUGUAUGUGUAUGUGUGUGUCCCAGCAUGAGUAUGGAGGUAAGAAGACAACUUCAGUGGGGAUCUCCUUGUAGGUUUUCCUUGCAGGAGUCUGUUGGGAAGCAGUACAGGGUGAGAAGAGGAUGAGGGUUGGUCAUUGGCUGGCUGGUGAGCACUCUGGUGUUUACCAUUCGCCGCCACUCCACUGAUGCUUCCCACAUACAGCGGCGGAUGCAAGGACGUCACGUGGUGCUGGGCACAGGCUGCAAGCACCACCCCUUGGGCCUCACCUUUGCUUCUGGGUGUCUUGACCACAGAGACCUUGCGGGAGUACCUGAAGGUGGUGAUGGCCCUUGAUUACGAGGAGAAGCCGCCCUAUGCCACGCUGAGGAACAAUCUAGAAGUUCUGCUGCAGAAUAUGCGGGUGUCACCCUAUGACCCCCUGGACCUCCAGAUGGUGCCUUAGGUGGAAUCCAGAGAUUCUGAUGUGCAGCUUGAAGUAGAACAUGAAGUAGUGUGACUCGGGGCCUUGUUUGAAGUCAUAGCUCCUCAAAGAAUCCCUUGAAUGUAUAUUCUUGCCACUCCCUUAAGACUUACAAAUCAGCACUGGUGUUGGGGAACCUGAGUGGUGCCCCGUGAUGUGAAACUCCUCUCUAUCCCUCAGCCCUGCAGUUGUGAAUGGAGGUGAGUGGAGGCUCCAUAGGACCUUCCUGUGAUGUCAUAAUAAACUGUUUUAAUCAAAA